CCUACGGGUGGCAGCAGUGGGGAAUAUUGGGCAAUGGGCGCAAGCCUGACCCAGCAACGCCGCGUGAAGGAAGAAGGCUUUCGGGUUGUAAACUUCUUUUAUCAGGGACGAAGCAAGUGAGGGUACCUGAUGAAUAAGCCACGGCUAACUACGUGCCAGCAGCCGCGGGAAUCCGGCGGUGGGAAGCGUUCUCCGGAUUUACUGGGUGUAAAGGGCGUGUAGGCGGGCGUGCAAGUCAGAUGGGAAAACUAUGGGCUCAACCCAUAGCCUGCAUUUGAAACUGUUCUUCUUGUGUGCUGGAGAGGCAAGCGGAAUUCCGGGUGUAGCGGUGAAAUGCGUAGAUAUACGGAGGAACACCAGUGGCGAAGGCGGAUUGCUGGACAGUAACUGACGCUGAGGCGCGAAAGCGUGGGGAGCAAACAGGAUUAGAUACCCGUGUAGUC
rnacentral:rRNA from 1 species